rnacentral:sRNA from 1 species
UCCAGAUACGACCCGAGCAGUCGCACGU